ACUUCACCCACUAAAUCUAUGGCACAUUAGCAAUUAUAUUUAUGAAUUGAGAGCAAUUUCACAAGGUAAUCACGAACAGUAGAAGUGAACCCACUAACCCAUGUUUGUCGUCUAAUCUAGAAACUCCCACGUACGGUUUCUUGAAACAUUUCAUUAGCAAUUUUUUUCUUAUUUAGAUCCCCAACUAGCAAAUUCCGACUGUUUUUGACUGGUCAUGAUUUUAUUUCACAAGAUUUGUUAUCGUGUUUGAUGCUCACCUGUGUCUACCUUGGUAAGAAAUCGAAGGGAAAAUUAGAAUCCAUGGAAUAAUUGUUACGUUUGGAUUGAUUCCUUUUUUUUUCUUUUCUUUUUUUAAAGUUUCAUGGCAGAUCCUUUGGGGAUAAGUAUUAGGAUUGGUUUCCAAUCUCCAUUUGUUUUAUAGUAAGUCCAACUCUUCGUAUGUUUCCCUUGGUCAUAUUACUGAUGUAUUUCACUUUUUUAUGUGACAUUUCCUGAAUAAUUUAAUCAACGAGAAUGGGAGGUGGAUUUAGAGUGCUACAUCUGGUUCGACCUUUCCUUUCGCUUCUCCCAGAGGUUCAAAGUGCAGACAAGAAGGUUAUAUACACUGUUAGAUCUCUGUUCAUUUUCCUGGUCUGCAUCCAACUUUCUAUUGUAUGGCAUACACUCUACAACUGGCGCAGAUCCAUUCUAUUGGAUGCGUGUGAUUCUCGCCUCAAACAGAGGCACAAUGAUGGAGCUUGGAAAUGCAGGCCAAAGUCGAGGAAGAAAUGGGAGCCGAGAGUUCCUUGAACCCGAGGCUCUUCUUCUAAAUGAAUCUGAACUUCAUUAUCACCAGUUGAAGGUAUCAGCCAAGCAUGAAGUAGUUCUGCCCUCAACCUUCCAAUCCCCAAAUGGGCUAUCGAUCUAGGACGCCAUUCGUGGCUGCUCCAUAUAUAUUUAUUCUCCAUACGGAUAUGGAAAAGUCUUGAGGCUUAGAGUGCCCAUGAGAUACAUACAGCCCUUAUACUUCUGAUCCUCAGGGUCUCAAGCCUUAUGUUCGUGGAGUAAUCAAUAGUCUUUAAGUGCUUUUUUUUCUAUCUAAGUGAUGUUAUUGGUGGAGGUGAUAUGUAAGAAAAGUGAAGCUUUUAGUGAAAUCACUUUGCUCUUAUGUUUUUGGGUAUGAAUUAUAACGAUUGAUUCGUUUU